rnacentral:lncRNA from 1 species
GGGUACUAUAUAUUGCUAAUUUCAAAGUGACUGCCAUUUAUGAAGACUUCCAUGUGCCUGCACCAUGUCACAUUAUUGAAUCUUCCCUGAAAUCUGAUGGAAUUUAGCUUGAUGUUAUUGCCAGUUUCAGAUGAGGAAAUUGAGGCUGCCUGCCCUGACUGAGGACAGAAACUAUAAGUGACAACAUCCUGCCUGAAUCAAAAGCCAAACUCUCAGCCACCACACUUAGGCAAAUUAUGAUGAAAGAAUAAACCACGGCCCAAGUCCAUGAAAAGAGCAGUCUUCAUGGCCAGGGAAUGCUCUCAGAUCGGGCGCUCAGGUAUGCCAGAUUGCACCCCAAAGCACCUCCUUCCCAUCCACACCAGACUUUGUGGGCACCUGCUUCACCUGAGAGCUUGCCUCCAGCGAUUAAAGUUACCAGGGAGAAUAUCAGGGCAGACACUAAGCACUGGAAACUCAAUUGGUGGUGAGCUGCUGCAUAGCAGGAACUGCAACCUAAUCACAUUCAACCCCUCGGUGGGGAAUGAAAAGCCAAAGCACUCCAUCUUACCAAUAUUCAAUUUUAGAGUAGAUGACUGUGAUACAAUGCAGACCUUAUUUAAUCACUAAAUAAAGGGGCAGCUUUAAAACACAGUCAAGACGUCAUCUUUAAAGAUUGUAUUUG